CUGCUGCCUCCCGUAGGAGUUUGGACCGUGUCUCAGUUCCAAUGUGGGGGACCUUCCUCUCAGAGCCCCUACGCAUCGUCGGCUUGGUGGGCCGUUGCCCCACCAACUACCUAAUGCGCCGCAUGCCCAUCCGUGACCGGGGUCGCCCCCUUUGGCUGGCAGGGGAUGUCCCCUCCCGGCAUUAUGUUGUAUUAGGCGGGAUUUCUCCCGGUUAUCCAUCUGUCACGGCCAGGUUGCAUACGUGUUACUCACCCGUGCGCCGGUCG
rnacentral:rRNA from 1 species